rfam:Triticum urartu cultivar G1812 contig961942, whole genome shotgun sequence.
CAAGUACUCCCUCCGUCCGGAAUUACUUGUCAUCAAAAUGGAUGUGUCUAGAACUAAAAUACAUCUAGAUACAUCCAUUUCAAUGACAAGUAUUUUUGGGCGGAGGGAGUACAAG